CUAAGAGGAAAAAACAAAAGGAAAGUUAAUUUGGGCACUCCAAGCCGUCCGAGCCCUUCUUGCGCUUUCUCCACCUCUAGGUUUCCCGCCGCCGCCCCCGCGUCCGAUGCACCUCCGCUGCCCGAGCAAGGAGCAGCAACUCUUCUUCUACUGCGGCGCUUCAAAACGGCGUCUCUGCAGGUAUGCUAGCGCCUCGUCUUCUCUUGUUUCUUACUGAUGCAAACCGGAAAUGGGUAAAUAUGGAGAUUAGCCAAUGAGAUAUGGUUGUUAAAUUUGUCUUUUGUGGUACAUUUUUUUGAGGAAAUCGGUGAUAACGCAAGGAACUAAGACCUUCAGUGAGACUGUCUUUGGUGUAUUAGCGAAAUUUGUUCAUCGGAUAGAGCUUUGAAUAGAUUAGCCAUCCUCCUCUCUAUUUACAUUCAUGUGCAGAAUGGGUGGUGUUGCAGCGCCUCUAGGUUACCUGAGGUGGGGGAGACUUGAUCCACCUCCUCCUUGUUUCUAUAGAUCUUUCGCCAAAGAAGGUUGCAGAGAUAUCAAUCUAGAAGAAGAAUGAGGGGGGAUUGGGAAUGUUCUGUAACUAUUUUUAUUGCUAACUUAGAUGGGAUUACAGUUCAUUGGUUUCAUUAUUUGGUCAUGUCUAAUUUUGCUAGCUAAGAUGCUAGCCCCUAUGCUGAACAAUGUUACAUUUUGACUCAUCUAGACCAUCCUUGUUGCAACCCUCACCUUAGCUGCUAAUGGUACCAAUUGUGCUGCUGGGGUUGUUGUUUUUGGUUGUUGAGAAGGAUGCUACCAGUUAUGCCUUUGUUUGUGCAAACUUUAUGAUUAGCAGGUACAGUGAGCACCCUUCAGAACCUCUUGUUUCUUCUUUGCUCAAGUUACAUUACGUAUCAAGAUGUGAGUUACUAAAUGUUCAUGUAUGUAUCAUGGAUGGACACUACCUCUUGUAUUGUUGAUUGGUUUGCAGGCUUAAUGGUUCUGGUUCAGGUAGAAGAGCUUCAGCCUUAGAAGAUUUCUGGGAGAAUCGAUUAUGAAGCUUAUGCCAUGUGAUGGCAGUAUUAACCCCUUCAUGGAAAUGUGUUUAAAAGAAGCACUUGCCUUUGGAAUUAAAGAUCAGUUUAUGACACUGACCAGAGAUCAUACCAAGGGAUUUCAGGGCUAGCAAAUAUGCUAAACAUAAAUACAGAGAGGCAAUCAGGCAGUGGAUUUCCGAUAUUGAUGCGAGAAAAAUUCCUUUGGCUCAAAGCCCACUUACUGAUAUUCUCAUGGUGUUUUAACCAAUAUAUAUAUACCAUCGGCUCGACGGCGAGGAGGGAAACCCCGCAGACCGAGGACAGCGCGAUGACUGUGCCGCAUGUGAAGAGCAUGGUCAUGUCAUGGGACCACACAUCAGUGGUGGUCUGCUUGCCUGCUAUGGCGUCAAACACGACUACACCCUUUUACUCGGCCUAUUCGGAUUGGAUUGGGCAGGGUGCUCUUUUGCUUUAAAGAUAGGAUAGGUGGAUAUAUUUGGUUUUAUGAUGGACAGGUUGAUCAAAAUCACAUGGCCUUUUUUCAAGUUUGAGAAGAAAAAGACACUAGAACAGGUGAUUGAUCACAACCAUACUUUCAGAGAUUUAUAUUUGAACUUUUUCAGUUACAAUUAAAGGCAGAAGGUAGCAGUUGACAUUAUUGGUAAAUUAAUUCUCUGCAUUUACAUAUGUGCUGAUGUAACUAACAUACAUCUAUACAUGGCUUUACUGAGCAUGAUCUUGCAUUUGCUACAGCCUGCUAUGGUCAAAAUGCCUGAACCUAAGAAUAUGCUACCACAGUACCUACGUUUCUCUGUAGAAAAGGUCAAGUGUAAUCCUAAUUUGGGCUACUGAAUUUUAGCCCCUUCACUGGUUAUACAAUGGUUAUCUACAUGUUUAUGACCGAUGUUUCACAGCGGAGGGAGUAUUUAGGAAUGCAUACAAGCAAUUCCUGUAUGAAGCAACACCACAUAAGCUCUAUAUUUCAGAACAAGCAUUCUGCAUUUUCAGAGAUUAAUCUGUGUCGAUAUAUUCAGUGUUUAAGAAGGGCGAUCGAUGCGCUUUGGUGUACAUGAUGAGCAUACUUCAUCCACCGCUGCCGCCUCCUCCCAUCCCAGAUCCGCUGCCGCCACCGGAGGAAGGGCCCCUCCCGAGACCCGCUUCUCCCUCGAGUCAGGUCGUGUGGGCGCCAUCGUCGUCUUCUGCCUUCGGUGCGUGGCACCACUGCCGGAGAGAGCGACGAGGAGGUCCAGCAGCCCGUGCUUUCAUCGUCGUGUGGCGCCAAAAGAAUGACGAGGAGGCGGAGCAGUUCGUGGUGUCUUCGUCAUCGCCGGCCGUGCUGGUAUGUUGUGCUCCUUUCCCUGCUCAGCCGCCUAUGCUACUCCACCACCACGGGAUACAAGUAUGGCCCUGCCAUGGCUGAGUGGAGGAUGAUCAGUUCGUCUGAAUUUUCCAAUUCUUCUUGGCCGUAGUUUUUAGGUAUUUCUGGCGAUCUGUGAUUUGUUCACUAUCUCGCAUCGUAUGAUGCGCCUCCCCGUGUUGACGUGGUGUGAUUGAUACAAUCUUGUGGCCGAUGGCUGAUAGCCCGGGCAGAUUCAGCUGAUACUGGUUUGGUAGGGUGAGAAAAACUGUGUAGUACACAUGCUAUGUGCUCGCAGUAUAGACAGAACGGUGGAUGUUUCUGAGCUACUGUGAUUUUGCUUGCUACUUCAAUUAGGAAGUGAGUACGGAGCAUACAAGGAUUUGUCGGCGUGCUAAUUUUGACAUUGAGUUAUCCUUGAGGGCCAUACUGGUUUGCUUGUUGGCAUGUAUUUUUCUCAAGCGAGUGAAGGGGUGGCAAAUUGAUGGUUACAACAUGACCUGGAAUUGCUUUGCUUCCUGGAAUCCAAUUGGCUGCCCUAAAAAUGUAUUGCAGCAACUUGAAUCUGGUAGUGUUAUUUUGUGUUAACAAGACUUUUAGGUCUUGCAUUUGUGCCACCAGUGCACUUCAUCUGAUGAUGCUCAAAGAUUUCUUCAUAGGAAUCAGCUCUUCAGUUUAAGGCUUUCAGACGAAGUAUAUACUAUUGAAAUUUGUAUGCAAGUUCAAGCAAAUGACUCAAAAAAGAGUCUUUGCCUUAGAGCAUGGAAGGACAUUUGCAAUUCAAAAGAUGAAGGUGGCUUAGGUGUCAGAAAUUUAAAAGCUAUUAAUGAGAGUCUUCUUAUUUCUGCUGCCUGGAGGUUAGCCAAGUUCCCUUCUUCUCACUUGCAUCUUGUGCUUAAGGCUAAGUACUUUCAUGAUGCUUCUAUCUGGACAGCUACUGCUAUUUCUCCCAAAUCAGCUUUCUGGGCCUCUAUUUUGAAAUUGUUGCCUAAACUUAAAGCUCAUUCUUUUUAUCAGUUAUCUCAAGGUUAUUUCGAUUUGGAGCAUACCUUGGUGCACUCUUUGGAGCUCGGUUCAUGAUCAUCUUAUUGCUCAACAACCUGGUUUUAUAUAUCCUUCUUUAGUUAAAGAUCUUUGGCUUCCAGGUCAAAAAAGUUGGAAUCAUGAUCUUGUUUUCUCCCUUUUCCAGCAACCUUUGGCCUCUCUCAUUGUUCAAACUGAAAUUAUUGAUGACGAAAGUCCAGACUUGCUUUGUUGGGAUCUUACCCCUAAUGGAAUUUGUUCUUCUAAAUCUGCAUAUAAACUCUGUUUACAGGAGAUUCAUGCUAAUCCCAGAAAUGCGCCUGCUACUCUUCCUUUGGAUUUGUUAGAUUUUCUCAAAUUAAUUUGGAAACAGAAGGAUUUGCUUCCUAGGGUCAAAACUUUCGCCUGGAGAUUACUUAGAAAGGCCUUGCCUACGGGUUUGCGAGCUGGUCGUUUUUCCAUUCAUACUUCUAAAAAUUGUUGUCGUUGUGGCCAGCAAGAGGAUGAGUUCCAUCUAUUUUUUCUGUGUAACUUUUCCCGUGCGGCUUGGUUUUCCUCUCCUUGGUUCCUUCGAUCGGAUGCUUUAAUUCAGGGCCAUUCCACUAUGCAUUCUGUUCUUUUUGACUUGCUUCGUAUGGGACAUCCUCAUGGUUCUAUUUCUAGUGUUUUAAAUUUUUUGUGGUGUCUCUGGAAGGCUAGAAAUGAUUUUCUCUUUGAUAGAAAAAAGGCUCUUCCCCACCAAGUUCAUAUUGCAGCUCUUGCUUUAGCUUCUGAUUGUUAUGAUAAUCUUCCAUGUUUACCUUCAAAGCAGGAUCAAGCUCAUAAUCAAUUGCCUCCUAAUUUGCUCCCUAUGCAAGGUAGAACGCUUAAGACAGAUCUGUUAAUUGUUGGCCCUAAGAUCUAUUCUGAUGCUGCUUAUAGGACCAAGAAAGUUCCAGGUUUGUUGCAAGGAGAGGUUGCUACAGGUGUGGGAGUGUACAUCUCUAUGCCCUUCAACCAAAAGGAAAUUAAUGUGCAAGUUCAAGCUUCGGCUUCUCCUACUUCUACUCCUCUGCAAGCUGAAGCAUUGGCUCUUUCUUUUGCUGCUCAUCUUGCUUCUCAACUCAAUAUUGCGCAGCCCACUUUUCUUUUGGAUUGUCUUGCUUUAGCUUUGGCUGUUGCCUCAGGUAAUAUUUGUGAUUCUGCCACCCCUUGGAAUAUUAGAAAGUCUUUGGCUAGCUUUUUCAAAUGUACAUCUAAUUUGCAACCGCGCGUGUUUCAUAUUUCUAGAGAAAUCAAUGGUAUUGCUCACAAUCUUGCGCAACAGGUUUUUCGUUCUGAUGGGCACACUCAACUCUCUUGUUUUGCUGCUACUCAUUCUCAAGUUUCUUGUCCUGUGUUGCCCCUUCUUUCAAAUUUCCAGAUUCAGGGUUUUAGAAUUCAUACUAUACAUUGCUACUAACAACCUUGUUGUGCAUGGAUCUUCUGCUUCUAUUCACAGUGUUGCUGUGCUGGCUUCUAUACUCUCUCUCUCUCUCUUUCAGGAUGCGCCUUUGCCAGAUUAAGGAUGGUCUUCUUCAACCUGCUGGUUUCUCACAGGAAAAGGAAUCCUCUUCCAUGUUGUGCAUUUUGCAGAGUUUGCCAAGCUGAGGCCAGUUGACGUCUUAAGCUCUGCAGGAUUAAAUUUAGAGGCUUGUAUUACACCUGCCUUUGGGUGCUUCAGUACACUUUCAAGUCAUCUUUGUUUGGCACACUUGUUGUUUUAGGCUGUCUGUUGUCUGUCUUUCUGUUCUUCUGAUCAUGGUGUUCAUCAGUUGGGGUUUCCCUCUCUGUCUUCCAGGAUAGUUCCUCAGCUCAUAUAGCCUUAGACUCUGCUUCUCUUUCUUUCAAUUUCUUGGCAGGUCUAUGUAAUGCUUGAUGUACUCUGUCAAUGAGCUGAAUGAAAUUGGCACCUGUUGGUGCCUUCUCUUGUUCAAAAAAAAAAUGUAUGCAAGCUUAAUCCCAUGUGGAAUCUAAACUAGCUGGGUUCACUCAUAUGUUUUAACUUUAGGUUUAUAGUCUAUAGUAUAUAGAACGCAUGAAAUGUCCAUCUUCAAAAUAUUACUGUUGGUACCAGAGGAAGGGAAAUGGUUUAGGCAUUGUGUGGAACACGGGAUUUUUUUCCUUAAUACUGCAGAAAACGUAGGGUUUCCUGUAAAAUUUACGCUCUUAAAAUAUGCCAUUAACUCUAUCCAUGCUGGUAUUUUUACUACAUCCAUCUGUUGAAACCGAGAUUCUUCUUGGCAGGCUGACCAUGACACAGAGUUAGAGGCCAUCAGGCAGAGGCGAGUGCAAGAGCUAAUGGGACAACAUGGUGGUGCGCGUUGGAGGGAGUGUCGCGUCUUGUGGCAACUGCGCCACCAAUCAAUUGCCUAGGCCAGCUGGCCGAUGCGCUCUGUGUAUCCGAGGAUGACGUUCGAUUUGACCUGACCAGCAGCCGCUGCCGCUCCCACAACCACAUCACCGGCCAUCCAGUGGGCUUCUUAUACCCAUCUAUGUUCUUUGCAACAUUGUACCGCAGAACGUAGAUUUUAAUUCAGUGUGUCGAUCCUACAUGCUUAUUAAUGAACAUGCAGCGUUGGAGGGAGUGUCGCGUCUUGUUGUAUUCA